rnacentral:hammerhead_ribozyme from 1 species
AGCCGAAACGGAGCGCUUUGCUCCGUCUGCCGAGAAUGACCACUCGGCACUGACGAUGGCAGGUCAAA